rnacentral:rRNA from 1 species
ACGAACCGUGCGAACGUUAUUCGGAAUCACUGGGCUUAAAGCGCGUGUAGGCGGGAUGGCACGUCGGUCGCUGAAAGCCCCCGGCUCAACCGGGGAAGGGGCGCCGAUACGACCGUCCUGGAGGGACGUAGGGGGACCUGGAACUUCCGGUGGAGCGGUGAAAUGCGUUGAGAUCGGAAGGAACGCCCGUGGCGAAAGCGAGGUCCUGGACGUCUGCUGACGCUGAGACGCGAAAGCCAGGGGAGCGAACGGGA